AGCAGCCGCGGUAAUUCCAGCUCCAAUAGCGUAUAUUAAAGUUGUUGCAGUUAAAAAGCUCGUAGUUGAAUUUCGGGGUUAGUAGGUUGGUCAUGCCUCUGGUAUGUACUGGUCUCACUGAUUCCUCCCUCCUGAUGAACCUUAAUGCCAUUAAUUUGGUGUUUUGGGGAAUUUGGACUGUUACUUUGAAAAAAUUAGAGUGUUUAAAGCAAGCUAACGCUUGAAUACAUUAGCAUGGAAUAAUGAAAUAGGACGUUCGAUCCUAUUUUGUUGGUUUCUAGGAUUGACGUAAUGAUUAAUAGGGAUAGUUGGGGGCAUUAGUAUUCAAUUGUCAGAGGUGAAAAUUCUUGGAUUUAUUGAAGACUAACUACUGCGAAAGCAUUUGCCAAGGAUGUUUUCAUUAAUCAAGAACGAAAGUUAGGGAUCGAAGACGAUCAGAUACCGUCGUAGUCUUAACCAUAAACUAUGACCGUAUAGGGAUCGGAUGAUGUUAAUUUUUAUGACUNAUUCGGCGCCUUAC
rnacentral:rRNA from 1 species